AAAUUAUGCUAAUGAUCUACUACCUAAAACCGUGACUCUGAUAAUGGCACUGGCCAAAGAUCGUCUCCUCCCUAGAUUACCUCAGCAUUUUUGCACUCACCACUCGGGUUGCACUUUGGCCUCCGACUGCAUUGUUCCUGCCACGGAAUAACCAUCAUGAACAGCCAAAUCGGAAUGAACGGCAGUACUCUGCCUUGGAGGAGGUUUUCCCUCUAGAGAUUUCAAAGCAGUUUGCGUAUCAUUAAGCCUCUCAAAUGGCUGUCUCAGGAGGAAAGGGAACUUGCUACCUCGGUCGUGGAGCCGAUGGGAGACAGUCAACAGAGAGAAUAAAUGGUUCUCUCCCACAC